rnacentral:rRNA from 1 species
GACGAACGCUGGCGGCGUGCUUAACACAUGCAAGUCGAACGGAAAGGCCCUGCUUUUGUGGGGUGCUCGAGUGGCGAACGGGUGAGUAACACGUGAGUAACCUGCCCUUGACUUUGGGAUAACUUCAGGAAACUGGGGCUAAUACCGGAUAGGAGCUCCUGCUGCAUGGUGGGGGUUGGAAAGUUUCGGCGGUUGGGGAGGGACUCGCGGCUUAUCAGCUUGUUGGUGGGGUAGUGGCUUACCAAGGCUUUGACGGGUAGCCGGCCUGAGAGGGUGACCGGCCAAAUGGGGAUUAGGGAAGGGCCCGGACGCCAACGGGGGGAAGGGGUGGGGAAUUUUGCGAGAGGGGCGGAGGGCUGAUGGAAGAAGCCCGGGUGGGGGAAGACGGCUUUGGGGUGGUAACCCGGUUUCGCGUGGAAAGAAGCGGGGGUGACGGUAAUGGGAAAGAAAGCACCGGCUAACUACGG